rnacentral:lncRNA from 1 species
ACCAUUUCCAUUGGCUGGAGAAAUAUGGAAGGUUUUGUUAGUCCAAGGCUGGACUUCCUUUGUGGCAUUUGAUGCAAGUAGGUACAGUGAUGAUAAUGGCAUUGUUCUCAAACCAGAAAAUAUUCCAUUAGCCACUAAACUCUCACCCUCUCUAAUUAAACGACUGGAUUUUGGGCAUGCCAACUAUAUAAAACAGAGUAUUGUUCGUUGUAUUGCAUAAAGUGCAUCUCAAAGACAAGCUUUGGUCAGUGAUUUGUGUAAUGAAAGAAGGUUGGCUUCAUGUUAAUUGGGGAAAUUUUCAAUGGCAUAGAAAGUUUGGUUAGUGAUUUGUGCAAUGCAAGAAUCCAGAACUUGAUUCAGGC